rnacentral:rRNA from 1 species
UACGUAUGGUGCAAGCGUUAUCCGGAUUUAUUGGGCGUAAAGGGAACGCAGGCGGUCUUUUAAGUCUGAUGUGAAAGCCUUCGGCUUAACCGGAGUAGUGCAUUGGAAACUGGGAGACUUGAGUGCAGAAGAGGAGAGUGGAAUUCCAUGUGUAGCGGUGAAAUGCGUAGAUAUAUGGAGGAACACCGGUGGCGAAAGCGGCUCUCUGGCCUGUAACUGACACUGAGGCUCGAAAGCGUGGGGAGCAAACAGG